rnacentral:rRNA from 1 species
UAGGGAAUCUUCGGCAAUGGGGGGAACCCUGACCGAGCAACGCCGCGUGAGUGAAGAAGGUUUUCGGAUCGUAAAGCUCUGUUGUUAAGGAAGAACGAGUGUGAGAAUGGAAAGUUCAUACUGUGACGGUACUUAACCAGAAAGGGACGGCUAACUACGUGCCAGCAGCCGCGGUAAUACGUAGGUCCCGAGCGUUGUCCGGAUUUAUUGGGCGUAAAGCGAGCGCAGGCGGUUAGAAAAGUCUGAAGUGAAAGGCAGUGGCUCAACCAUUGUAGGCUUUGGAAACUGUUUAACUUGAGUGCAGAAGGGGAGAGUGGAAUUCCAUGUGUAGCGGUGAAAUGCGUAGAUAUAUGGAGGAACACCGGUGGCGAAAGCGGCUCUCUGGUCUGUAACUGACGCUGAGGCUCGAAAGCGUGGGGAGCGAACAGGAUUAGAUACCCUGGUAGUCCACGCCGUAAACGAUGAGUGCUAGGUGUUAGGUCCUUUCCGGGACUUAGUGCCGCAGCUAACGCAUUAAGCACUCCGCCUGGGGAGUACGACCGCAAGNUUG